ACUCCUUUGUUUUGAGCCGACUUCGUCCUGGGCUUUGAACGGGGAACCUGGUUCACCCCCGGGAAGCAGCCCGGUUCCUAAACUAAUGCAAUUCACUUUCACCCGGUGCAAAACACACCUACCCUGGAGCCUGGGUCAGAUUAAUGGAAUCCCCUCAAUGAGACACCUACCCUGGAGCCUGGGUCAGAUUAAUGGAAUCCCCUCAAUGAGACACCUACCCUGGAGCCUGGGUCAGAUUAAUGGAAUCCCCUCAAUGAGCACCUACCCUGGAGCCUGGGUCAGAUUAAUGGAAUCCCCUCAAUGAGACACCUACCCUGGAGCCUGGGUCAGAUUAAUGGAAUCCCCUCAAUGAGACAUCUACCCUGGAGCCUGGGUCAGAUUAAUGGAAUCCCCUCAAUGAGACACCUACCCUGGAGCCUGGGUCAGAUUGAUGGAAUCCCCUCAAUGAGACACCUACCCUGGAGCCUGGGUCAGAUUAAUGGAAUCCCCUCAAUGAGGUACCUACCCUGGAGACCGGGUCAGAUUAAUGGAAUCCCCUCAAUGAGAGACAUUGGCAUCUGUUGGCUCAGACUAAUGGCGGAUGAUAUUUGAGGGCUGUUGCUAGGCGCCCGGGGAACAGUGGGCCAGUCUACAUAUGAAGAUGUCCCAAUGAAGAGCAGUGGUUCUCAGUUCUGGGGACUCAAAGAUGGGCACAUUUUUGUUUCUGCCUUCACACUGCACAGCUGAUUCAAAUGAUCAACUCAUCAUCAAGCUUCAAGUGAUACCUUGUAACUGGAGAUUCCUUCAAAACGAUUGCCUACAGUUACCGUGUAGGGC